rnacentral:rRNA from 1 species
UACGAAGGGGGCUAGCGUUGUUCGGAAUUACUGGGCGUAAAGCGCGCGCAGGCGGUCUUCCAAGUCAGUGGUGAAAGCCCGGAGCUCAACUCCGGAACUGCCAUUGAAACUGUGAGACUUGAGGAUGAGAGAGGUGAGUGGAAUUCCUAGUGUAGAGGUGAAAUUCGUAGAUAUUGGGAAGAACACCGGUGGCGAAGGCGGCUCUCUGGACCGAGACUGACGCUGAGGAGCGAAAGCGUGGGGAGCGAACAGG